AACGUCAUCACUCCCUCCAGGGCGCCGACUCUGCGCUCUGUCGCGCACGCGCACUAUGCCCUCAUGCCUUGCGCGAGGCGGCGGCUGUGCACCGCCAUCUUUGCCGGUGGCGGUAAGAACACGCUGUGUGCUAAGACCUGACGGCUAGCGCUGCUUUGGCUACUGCACGCCCCGCUGUAAGGGGCCCGCUGUCUCCAGAAGAACUGGAUAUUCUUUGUUACAAUUAUGGCAGACAAAUUAACAAGAAUUGCUAUUGUCAACCACGACAAAUGCAAACCUAAGAAAUGUCGACAGGAGUGCAAAAAGAGUUGCCCUGUGGUUCGGAUGGGAAAAUUGUGCAUAGAAGUUACACCCCAGAGCAAAAUAGCAUGGAUUUCUGAAACUCUCUGUAUUGGUUGUGGUAUUUGUAUUAAGAAAUGUCCCUUUGGCGCCUUAUCAAUUGUCAAUUUGCCAAGCAACUUGGAAAAAGAAACAACACAUCGCUACUGUGCCAAUGCCUUCAAGCUUCACAGGUUGCCUAUCCCUCGUCCAGGUGAAGUUUUGGGAUUAGUUGGAACUAAUGGUAUUGGAAAGUCAACUGCACUAAAAAUUUUAGCAGGAAAACAAAAGCCAAACCUUGGAAAGUAUGAUGAUCCACCUGAUUGGCAAGAGAUUUUGACUUAUUUCCGUGGAUCUGAAUUACAAAAUUACUUUACCAAGAUUCUCGAAGAUGACCUAAAAGCCAUUAUCAAACCUCAAUAUGUAGACCAAAUUCCCAAGGCUGCAAAGGGGACAGUGGGCUCUAUUCUGGACCGAAAAGAUGAAACAAAGACACAGGCAAUUGUAUGUCAGCAGCUUGAUUUAACUCACCUUAAAGAACGAAAUGUCGAAGAUCUUUCAGGAGGAGAGUUGCAGAGAUUUGCUUGUGCUGUCGUUUGCAUACAAAAGGCUGAUAUUUUUAUGUUUGAUGAACCUUCUAGUUACCUCGAUGUCAAGCAACGUUUAAAGGCUGCCAUUACGAUUCGAUCUCUAAUAAAUCCAGAUAGAUAUAUCAUUGUGGUGGAGCAUGAUCUAAGUGUAUUAGACUAUCUCUCUGACUUCAUCUGCUGUCUAUAUGGGGUACCGAGUGCUUAUGGUGUUGUCACGAUGCCUUUUAGUGUAAGAGAAGGCAUAAAUAUAUUUUUGGAUGGCUAUGUUCCAACAGAGAACCUGAGGUUCAGGGAUGCGUCGCUUGUUUUUAAGGUAGCUGAGACAGCAAAUGAAGAAGAAGUUAAAAAGAUGUGCAUGUAUAAAUAUCCCGGGAUGAAGAAAAAGAUGGGAGAGUUCGAGCUAGCAAUUGUAGCUGGAGAGUUCACGGACUCUGAGAUCAUGGUGAUGCUGGGGGAGAAUGGUACAGGUAAAACUACAUUUAUCAGAAUGCUUGCUGGAAGGCUUAAACCAGAUGAAGGAGGAGAAGUGCCAGUUCUAAAUGUCAGUUAUAAGCCACAGAAAAUCAGUCCCAAAUCAACAGGAAGUGUUCGCCAGUUACUGCAUGAAAAGAUCAGAGAUGCUUACACGCAUCCGCAGUUUGUGACUGAUGUAAUGAAGCCCCUACAGAUUGAAAACAUCAUUGACCAAGAGGUACAGACAUUGUCUGGUGGUGAACUUCAGCGAGUAGCUUUAGCUCUUUGUUUGGGCAAACCUGCUGACGUCUAUUUGAUUGAUGAACCUUCUGCAUAUUUGGAUUCUGAGCAAAGAUUAAUGGCAGCUCGGGUCGUCAAACGGUUUGCAAUUGUGUUCCAGUUUCAUUCUCCAUGCAAAGAAGACAGCUUUUGUUGUAGAACAUGACUUCAUCAUGGCCACCUAUCUAGCAGAUCGCGUCAUCGUUUUUGAUGGUGUUCCAUCAAAGAACACAGUUGCAAACAGUCCUCAGACUCUUUUGGCUGGCAUGAACAAAUUUUUGUCUCAGCUCGAAAUUACAUUCAGAAGAGACCCCAACAACUACAGGCCACGAAUAAAUAAGCUCAAUUCAAUCAAGGAUGUAGAACAAAAGAAGAGUGGAAACUACUUUUUCUUGGAUGAUUAGAUUGAGUCUGAACUUAUAAGCCAUUUACUUACUGGGAUUUUUAUCAUAUAAAACUUUAAUCAGGUUUUAUGGCCCCACAUACUCUGGAGCUUGAAGUAUGAUUUUCUUAAUGUGACAUCAAAAAGCCAGUUGUCUUGUAAAUUGUUGUUUAAGAACUAUUUUGUUCUUAAGAUUAAACCUCUGUGCAUACUACAUGAACAUGGAGACAUUUCAGAUUAUCAGUUACCUCCAGAUUUUCACAAUCUACGGGGAGAUUUUCAGUUGUAUAUUAUAUUCAUGUACCAAAUGCUUCCUGGUGUUGCCCAUCUUUAAAAUCUUGGAUAAAAUCUGUACUUACCUGUUUGCUAAGUGUACCAGUAUAACAGAACUGCCCCCUUCUAAAAAGCCAGUCACAGACUUGCUGCCAAAGUCUGAUACAUAAGCAUCAGGGCUAUAUUUGCUACUUGUGUUCAGUGUGUGCUUCCAAGGAACAGUGUCUGCUACAAACACCAUUGUUGGAAGAUGUUGAUGACCAACUUAUGCAUUGUUUUUAAUGAGUUUUUGGUGCUUUUGAACAUCUGUCAAAAUUUAUUUCAGUGCCCUAAUUUAACUUUUUUUUUUUAGUUCUUACAUUCUAUAACAACAUUCACAGUAAUGUUACUUUUAUAAAUAUAUAAUCACUGAUCAAGAUUAGGGAGGAGGCAUUUCUGAAGACUAUUUGCUUCCUGCAGAACUAUAGGCUUGGGCUGGGGAGAUGGUUCAGUCAGUAAGUACAAGCUGCACGCUCAUGAGGACCAUAUUUGAGACUUUAGUAGAAGUGAAGUCCAGCAGAUCCCUAAAGCCCACUGGCCUGCCAGCCUAACACAGUCUAUGAGCACAUUCAGUAGAAGGUCCUGUCUUAAAAGCUAAGUGGACAGUAAUUGAGGAAGACACUCUGGCACCAACACACACACACAAAACCCAACCGAUACAGUCUUUAUAGUUGGUGCCUAAGUAUCUGGAUUUUAGGGUUUCGGUUUUAAUUUUGUUUUGAGACAGCUUGUCGUCCUAUAGCCCAAGCUGGCCUCAAAUUAGGUAUCCAAGGACAACCUUGAAUUUCUCAGCCCACUACCUAGGCUUGGAUUACACAGUGCUGAGGAUCAAACCCAGGGCUUUGUGUGUGCUAGGCAAGCACUCUAACAACUGAGCUACAUCCCCAGCCCUACAUAUUUAGACUCCAGAGUCUUCUGUUGAGCAACCAAGGACAACCUAAAACAACUUCUCCAGUGAGUGCAGGGAAAUAGCAAUACAAAGUGUCCAUUGCUGCAGUGCAUACUCAUUUGUUGGAUACAAAGGACAUUAUCCACAUUUUACUAAUAUGCCAAACUGGAAUUAUGAGGAAGGUGGAUUACAAUGAACAGGGCAGGCAGAACAGGAAAAUUAGAAAGUAUUUGACAAGACUUUAGAACUUUAAAUAAUAGGUCUGAUUAAUUUGCAGACAAUGAUAGAAAGUUUGUUUUGACUGAUACCCAUUAGGCUUUCUAAAAAUGAAUUUAUAUAAUCCAUAAAUAUGUAUCUGUUGUAAAGGAACACAAAGUAUAUGGAAUAAAAUCUCCCUUUAUCAGUUUCUGAGCUUACCGGUGUGUGGUCAUUCUUUCCUUCACUAUGUACUUAAUCUUGUUAUGGGAAUAUACUAAAAUAUAUUUGUGAAUAUUACAGAUACAAAGUUCAUCCACCUUAAUGCUAAUGACAAUAUGUGAAUAAGAGUAUUUUUGUGCAAAUGAAAUUUGAAAAUACAAAAUCAGAUAUUAAACUUUUUUUGACUUCUUU